AGGCGCGUAGCUCAGCUGGUUAGAGCACCACCUUGACAUGGUGGGGGUCGUAGGUUCGAGUCCUAUCGCGCCUACCA
rnacentral:tRNA from 9 species